rnacentral:lncRNA from 10 species
AGUGCAUAAAUGUCAACUCUCUGAGCUUUAAUUUAAGAAGAAGAAAAGGAAUCCACCAGAAUCUUGAAGGACACACCAGAUUCCGGGAAGGAGAAUGGAGGCAAACUGCCCCCAUGAUGGCAUCCAGCUAAUAAAAGCAAAUAGGAAGAGCUCUGGUCUGCAGCUCCCAGUGUGAUCAAUGCAAGAUGGGUGAUUUCUGCAUUUCCAACUGAGCUACCUGAUUC